UGCGCGAGUCAUUGGGAUUCGUAGCUAAACCUAAAGGCGCAAUGAAAGUGAAGGUUCGCCUCGCGCGAACCGAGGGCGGACGGGCGUCGUUCCGGCGACGUCCAGCACGCCCGGGGCGUCCCGGUCUCAUCGCGAGACGGGGCGCACCCAGAGCGUACACGCUGGGACCCGAAAGAUGGUGAACUAUGCCUGGUCAGGACGAAGUCAGGGGAAACCCUGAUGGAGGUCCGUAGCGAUUCUGACGUGCAAAUCGAUCGUCGGAACUGGGUAUAGCGGCGAAAGACUAAUCGAACCAUCUAGUAGCUGGUUCCCUCCGAAGUUUCCCUCAGGAUAGCUGGCGCUCGUCUUUGAGCGAGUUUCAUCCGGUAAAGCGAAUGAUUAGAGGCAUUGGGGUCGAAACGGCCUCAACCUAUUCUCAAACUUUAAAUGGGUGAGAUCUCCGGCCUGCUCGAACGGUGAGGCCGCGAGAUUUCGAAUCAGAGUGCCAAGUGGGCCACUUUUGGUAAGCAGAACUGGCGCUGUGGGAUGAACCAAACGCCGUGUUAAAGCGCCAAAGUCGACGCUUAUGGGAUACCAUGAAAGGCGUU
rnacentral:rRNA from 3 species